CGCAGCUCGACUUACCCUACGUCGCGAGACAUGGUUAUGAUAAUUAUGUGCGCAAACUUUAAUAGGUGCGAUCAUACCAACACUAAUGCACCGGAUCCUAUCAGAACUCCGCAGUUAAGCUUGCUUGGGUGAGAAUAGUACUAGGAUGGUUGACCUCCUGGGAAGUCCUUGUGUUGCACCUUUUUUUUUUA